rnacentral:rRNA from 1 species
UACAGAGGGGGCAAGCGUUGUUCGGAAUUACUGGGCGUAAAGCGCGCGUAGGCGGACCUGCAAGUCGGGGGUAAAAGCCCGAGGCUCAACCUCGGAACUGCCUUCGAUACUGCGGGUCUCGAGUCCGGGAGAGGUGAGUGGAAUUCCGUAGUGUAGAGGUGAAAUUCGUAGAUAUUAGGAAGAACACCAGUGGCGAAGGCAGAUCUCUGGGCCGGUACUGACGCUGAGACGCGAAAGCGUGGGGAGCGAACAGGA